GGAGGAGCAAAGUUCAAGGGCUCAGCAAUGCAGAAUGGAGACGUUACUCGAGCAGCUCUGCCAAAGAUUUCAAAGUCUGGAACAAGCAAUAGAGAUGAGACAGGAGGUCCCAUAUCAUGACUUGCUGCUUUCCAGAAGAUACCUGGAGAACAACCAAGCCCACAGAUGCUGUCUGGGGAGAUGCAGAGAGAUGAUCCCCUUCUCCAUCCUGCCCCCUCAGGCCUUUGCCAAAGCCUCAGGAACACCCACAGCUCUCCUGCAGUCCAUCCAUCCAAAGCAAUUCAAAGAACCUGGGAUAGCCAUGCUGCGAGAAGAGAUGAUUCAUCUACGAGUCCUGGAAUUGGCAAGAGGGGAGAGGAUUAAUAAUAUAUGGACUGACUCCAGAUCUGCAUUUGAGAUAGGGCCUGCUCAGGGUGCUGUCCGGAACAGAAGAUUGUGUGAAGGUCAAGGCUUUUUCAGGUCAGUGUCUGGAGGAGAAGUGGAAUGGAUCACACCAGGUGCUUCUGACAACCUUCAUGCCAAUCAAGAUGAAAGAACAGCCUGCCUGGAUUCACUAUUCAGGAGGCAUCCAAAGGAGCAUGGACCUCAGAGCCAGUAGGACUAACGAUCUGCAAGUUCUGAUGCUGACCCUUGGUGUUCUGAUCAGUAUCAUAAUUCUGGCUCUAAUCUUUACCUUACCCUGGCCAUAGUCCCCACACUCACAUAAGCUGUCGCCGUGAUAUUUUCUGAAAAAUCCCUUCGCCAGGAUUUCUUCUCAUGGGAGAUUGGGAGGCCUUGGAGAGGAAUGAAAAUAAUAAUUAUCUAAUUGCUUUUCCCUGUUUUGCUGCUUUGGAAUUUCAUCUGGAGAUUGUUUGUCCAGCAGGUGGUUGGUUGAUUGGUCUCAUGUGAAUUGUUUUACCUAAUGACCAAUUCCUGUCCUGCUGUGUCAGACUCUGAGGAAUCAAUCACAAGUUUUCAUUAUCAUUCUUGUUAAGCCUUCUGUCUCUAUUGUUCUCUAUAGUUUAGUAUAGUUUGAGUAUAGCAUUCUUUAAUAUCAUAUAAUAUAUCAUAUAUCUUAUAUCAUAUAUAUCAUAUAUCAUAUAUAUCAUAUAUCAUAAUAUAAUAAAUCAGCCUUCUAAGAACA
rnacentral:lncRNA from 1 species